UGGCGCCAGCCGGACGAGGCGCCUUAAGCCGCGGGCUCUCUGACGUCUGCGCCUGUAAGCACUCAGCCGCCGGGGUCCGGGCCUGCGCGCGCGGAACGAUCCCGCCGCGGGAAUCACGCGCCGCUUUUCACCCGCGCCGCAGGCUUCGCGGCUCUGCUCUCCUGCCCAUCCUGCCCCGCCGCAGGCCUCGGCACUGGAGGUGAGGUUCUGUGUAUCCCGGGCUGGAGGAAGCUGGAGGAACUCUGUAGAAGGGGAGGUUUCGCUUCCGGGUGGGACGGUCGUCACGUGAGGGUGUCCUUAGUGCCGCCUGGUGAAAACGCCCAGGACUGCAGGGUCCCUGCACCCAGAACUUGAUGGGGCGUCUGCGGGCAACUUUGCUUUUGCGUGGAACGUCUGAACGUAUUUACAAUCCAGACCCGGUCUGCCCAGACCAUAUUUCCCUUUAAAUGCUGAAAACAGCACAGGAGUUGAUGUGUGCUGUAUGCAUAAACCGCACGCUGAAUAGCUAAGACUGAUAAGAGACUGCUUUUGGCCACUCUGGGUGUGGAGCACAGGUGGGACCUAGAGUGAAAGGUGGCUGUCCACUGCCUCACCCUUCCAGCAAGUCUUGACAUCUUGAGGAGUUUCCACUCUCUGAGAAGGAAAAGGCUGCAGUCCACAGAGGAAGCUGGAGGUGAAUGGCAGAGACAGAGGCUGGUCACAUAGUGACUUUGGCUUCCUGUCUGCCUGUCAGAGCGGGAGGAGGUGGAUCUUGUGGUGCCUUACAUCUGUGUCACUUCAUUUGUAAGAAGAUGGCUGGAAUGGUGAAGAGCACACAGGUAAAUCACUGCUCCCACCCCCCAUGCUUCCAGAAAACCAGCUCAUCAAGAUCUUUCUACCCACCUGGAGCCAGAACUGUUUCUGGAAAUAUCUAAAUUCUUCUACUGAUGCCAAAACAAUGAGGCCAGCCUUUGUCUUUUAGAAACCAGUAGAGGAUUGAGAGGGGAGAUGCCAUGCAUGCUCUCUGCCACAACCUCCUCUGCUGUCCAUCUUCAUAGCCUCUCUAUGCCUACUGGCCUUUCAGGUCUUACGGGUAUCUUAUGAUGGUCUUCAUCCUAUAAUUCUUGGCGGCCCCUCUCCAUCUGAACAUCCGCUCCCAUCCGAAACACAUACAACCUGAAAGAGAAGCCUAAGAGUCUGCAGGUGCACUGUCUUCACUGGGUGGAGGGUGGGGGAGGAUACAUCGCUCUCUGCCUGAUCACAAGGAUGGGUGAAUACUGCAGAUAAAUAAUUCUAAGGGCUUUUACAGAAGCUUCCACAGAGAGGAUGGUCCUGUCACUGCUUUGGGCUUCACAAGAAAGAAACACCUUUCUUCCUUCUGUGCCGGUGACUCAUGCCUCUAACCUCACCCUCAAGUCAAGGAUAACUGGGCUACGAGAGUUAGAGGGGCUUACAAGCUGGCAUCCAAGGGAGAGGCGGGUGACUCUGUGGGAUGGAUGUGUUCCUGCAGGAGUGGGGGCCUCAGAUUCUACUCCAAGGACCAAGCUGUCAGGGGCAGUGGAAGGGAGAGGAGCUCUGAUACCCGCCCAGGUGGGGUGGCAUUUUGUGUGUUGCCAUCAAAUAUAUGGAAGCCACAAGUCACUCUGUCAACAUUUUGACAAACCAGUUCCCCAUCUUCUGGAAAAAUCAAACUCUUGUUUUCCUGCUGCCUUCGCAAUGAGGAAACAGGCAACAUUUUGGCUAAAAGUUUAUAAACAGAAGCACAUAUUUUCUGGUCACAGUUCUUCCAGGUCCUGAUUGAUCUGAAUUUCCCACAGGGGUGAGUAGGACCCACCUGCGAUCUAUCCAUAUGUGGAAGGUUUUAUUUUUUUAAUCUUUAGCAGAAUGACUUUAUUUAUAAGCAAGCAUCUUGUAUAACAGUUUUAUGUGUCAAUUUGGCUAGACUAUAAUACCCAGUUUUCAGUUCAGCACUAAUCCAGGUGUUGCUGUGAAGUUUCAAUUAAAUGCUAAUCCAGGUGUUGCUGUCAAGUAGCUGGGAUUACAGGAACCUGCCACCAUGCCCGGCUAAUUUUUUGUAUCUUUAGAAGAGACGGGGUUUCACCAUGUUGGCCAGGCUGGUCUCAAACUCCUGACCUUGUGAUCUGCCCGUGAUUUUGUAGAUGUGGCUAACCUCUGUAAUCGGUUGGCUUUAAGUAAAGGAGAUUACCUUUCACAAUCUGGCCGAAAGAUAAUCAGGACACACAUUUUCCUGACGUAUCCUCGUUUCCCCUCCUUAAAGGGUAGAGGAUAUCUCCUGCUCUUUUCUGUGUGUCCUUAAGAGACCACUGAGACAGAGUAAUGCUGUAAAAAGAAAGUGGACUUUGGAAUCAGGCACUGAUUCUGUAUUUGAUCCUGGUUUUGUCACCUGCUAGCUGUGUAUUCACCUCAGCUUGCUUGCUUUUUUUUUUUUUUUUUUUUGGAGACAGGUCUUGUUCUAUUGCCUAGGC